UCAUUAUUGAAAUAAACCUGAUAGAUUGUUGCUGGUUCUUUAAUGAACAUGUGCACAUCUGUCAUCUUUAUAUCUCCACCUGUGCACCUUUUGUAGACCUAGACAAGCUUCUUAAUCUAGCAUUAAGGUUUUGGGAUUGACUUAUUGUCUUUCCUUAUAUUUCUGGGUCUAUGUUCAUUCAAAUACCCUAAUGUAUGUUAUAGAAUGUAAUAAGUGGGCCUUUGUGUGCCUAUAACAAUAUACAACUUUCAGCAACGGAUCUCUUGGCUCUCGCAUCGAUGAAGAACGCAGCGAAAUGCGAUAAGUAAUGUGAAUUGCAGAAUUCAGUGAAUCAUCGAAUCUUUGAACGCACCUUGCGCUCCUUGGUAUUCCGAGGAGCAUGCCUGUUUGAGUGUCAUUAAUAUAUCAACCUCUUCAGCUUUUGCUUGUUGAGUGCUGGAUGUGGGGGUUUUUUUUGCUGGCCUUUUUUCUUUUUAAAGAAGUCAGCUCCCCUAAAAUAUAUUAGCGGAACAAUUUGUUGACCGUUCAUUGGUGUGAUAAUUAUCUACGCUAUUAACGUGAAACAGUUCAGCUUCUAACAGUCCAUUGACUUGGACAGUUUUUCAUUAAUGUGACCUCAAAUCAGGUAGGACUACCCGCUGAACUUAAGCAUAUCAAUAAGCGGAGGAAAAGAAACUAACAAGGAUUCCCCUAGUAACUGCGAGUGAAGCGGGAAAAGCUCAAAUUUAAAAUCUGUCAGUCUUUGGCUGUCCGAGUUGUAAUCU
rnacentral:rRNA from 1 species